rnacentral:rRNA from 1 species
GACUAAGCCAUGCGAGUCAAAUGUUCUUCGUGAACAUGGCGUACUGCUCAGUAACACGUGGAUAACCUGCCCUUAGGUCUGGCAUAACCCCGGGAAACUGGGGAUAAUUCCGGAUAGAUCAUGGAUGCUGGAAUGCACCGUGGUCGAAAGCUUUUGUGCCUAAGGAUGGGUCUGCGGUCUAUCAGGUUGUAGUGGGUGUAACGUACCUACUAGCCUACGACGGAUACGGGUUGUGGGAGCAAGAGCCCGGAGAUGGAUUCUGAGACAUGAAUCCAGGCCCUACGGGGCGCAGCAGGCGCGAAAACUUUACAAUGCGGGAAACCGCGAUAAGGGGACACCGAGUGCCAGCAUCCUAUGUUGGCUGUCCAUAUGUAUAAAUAACAUGUGUUAGCAAGGGCCGGGCAAGACCGGUGCCAGCCGCCGCGGUAACACCGGCGGCCCGAGUGGUGGCCACUAUUAUUGGGUCUAAAGGGUCCGUAGCCGGUUUGGUCAGUCUUCCGGGAAAUCUGACGGCUUAACCGUUAGGCUUUCGGGGGAUACUGCCAGGCUUGGGACCGGGAGAGGUAAGAGGUACUACGGGGGUAGGAGUGAAAUCUUGUAAUCCCUGUGGGACCACCAGUGGCGAAGGCGUCUUACCAGAACGGGUCCGACGGUGAGGGACGAAAGCUGGGGGCACGAACCGGAUUAGAUACCCGGGUAGUCCCAGCCGUAAACUAUGCUCGCUAGGUGUCAGGGACGGUGCGACCGUUUCUGGUGCCGUAGGGAAGCCGUGAAGCGAGCCACCUGGGAAGUACGGUCGCAAGGCUGAAACUUAAAGGAAUUGGCGGGGGAGCACUACAACGGGUGGAGCCUGCGGUUUAAUUGGAGUCAACGCCGGGAA